rnacentral:rRNA from 1 species
UACGGGGGGGGCAAGCGUUGUUCGGAAUUACUGGGCGUAAAGGGCUCGUAGGUGGCCAACUAAGUCAGACGUGAAAUCCCCCGGCUUAACCUGGGAACUGCGUCUGAUACUGGGAGGCUUGAGUAUGGGAGAGGGAUGUAGAAUUCCAGGUGUAGCGGUGAAAUGCGUAGAUAUCUGGAGGAAUACCGGUGGCGAAGGCGGCAUCCUGGACCAUUACUGACGCUGAGGCGCGAAAAGCUAGGGGAGCAAACGGG